rnacentral:rRNA from 1 species
ACUACAUGAAGCUGGAAUCGCUAGUAAUCGCGGAUCAGCAUGCCGCGGUGAAUACGUUCCCGGGCCUUGUACACACCGCCCGUCACACCAUGAGAGUCGGGAACACCCGAAGUCCGUAGCCUAACCGCAAGGGGGGCGCGGCCGAAGGUGGGUUCGAUAAUUGGGGUGAAGUCGUAACAAGGUAGC